ACCAUUGAGCCACAUUCCUAGUCCUUUUUAUUUUGAGACAGGGUCUCACUAAGUUGCUGAGGCCAGCUUUGAGCUUGUGGUCCUCCUACCUCAGCCUCCCAAGCCAUUGAGAUUAUUGGCAUGUGCCACCACACCCAGCUUACAUUCAUUCUUUUACUUAGCCUCAUAACAAUCCUAUGUGAUAGAUACUACUAGUAUUAUUUCGGAGUCAGUGCAAUUGAGGUUCAGAGUGGCUGAAUGAUUUCUCUAGAGCUACAAAGUUAGCAAGGGACAGAGCUGGGAUUUUGUACCCAGUGUUAGUAUAACUAACACUCUAUUGUCUCUAAUUUCAAAACAUACUUCUCUCCACUUACCGUUACGACAUGAACAUUUUCUGAGUUUCUACAUAGCCUUGAAAUAUUUUCAAUUAUUUCAUCAUGCCAAAUCAACAUAAUUUACUUAACCACUUCCUGCUUAACACUUCCAUUUCCCACUUCAUCAGGGAAAUGAAAAAUGUUGGUCAUACAGCCUUUUGCUUCUGCAGAAUUAUUUCCUCAGGAGUUUGUCCCUAUUUUUCCUUGAGUAAUGGCAAUGUGAUAGAAUGGAGCAGGCCAGAGACUAAAAGUUAAAAGCCCUUAGGUUCCAGUCUCUAUUGACAAAGUCAUUUAUCGUCAGUUCUCUCACCAGUCAAAUGAGGAGAUUGGUUUAUAUAGCUGGAUAUCUUGAGUUUGCCAAAUUGUGUCUUCUUAUUUCUGUAUAUAUUCAGGUCAAAGUAGAGAAGACCUUCCCAAAAGCAAGAAUUCUUACAGUAUUUUCCCUUUGCUUAUUUACUUUUGGCCUAGAUAUAUAAAGAAAUGGAAAAGACCUCCCUUUGCUCCCCCGCCCAGAUGUAUCACUUUUAUUUCAAUUUGUAAUUUCAAUUAACAUCAGAUUUAUGUUUUUUCAGAUAGAGUUCUAGCUCAUCAGGCACAGUGUCAUAUGCCUGUAAUCCCAGCAACUUGGGAGACUGAGGCAGGAGAAUCACAAGUUCAAGGCCAGCCUCAGCAACUUAGCAGGGAUAUGUCUCAAAAAAAAAAAAAAAAGAAGAAGA
rnacentral:lncRNA from 1 species